rnacentral:rRNA from 1 species
UACGGAGGGUGCAAGCGUUGUCCGGAUUUAUUGGGUUUAAAGGGUGCGUAGGCGGCUUUUUAAGUCAGCGGUGAAAGACAACAGCUCGACUGUUGCAGUGCCAUUGAUACUGAAGAGCUUGAGUACAGAUGAGGUAGGCGGAAUUUAUGGUGUAGCGGUGAAAUGCAUAGAUACCAUAAAGAACACCUAUUGCGAAGGCAGCUUACUAAGCUGUAACUGACGCUGAGGCACGAAAGUGUGGGGAUCAAACAGG